rnacentral:rRNA from 1 species
UACAUGGGGUGCAAACGUUGCUCGGAAUUAUUGGGCGUAAAGCGCACGUAGGCGGUUCGUUAAGUCGGAUGUGAAAGCCCUCGGCUCAACUGAGGAAGUGCACCCGAAACUGGCGAGCUUGAGUACGAAAGAGGAUCGCGGAAUUCCUGGUGUAGCGGUGAAAUGCGCAGAUAUCAGGAGGAACACCGGUGGCGAAGGCGGGUCUCUGGGCCGAUAUUGACGCUGAGGAGCGAAAGCGUGGGGAGCAAACAGG